GACGAACGCUGGCGGCGUGCCUAAUACAUGCAAGUAGGACGCAGUUGCGAACGGGUGAGUAACGCGUAGGUAACUACCUAUUAGAGGGGGAUAACUAUUGGAAACGAUAGCUAAUACCGCAUACUAGUAGAUGGACCUGCGUUGUAUUAGCUAGUAGGUAGGGUAAUGGCCUACCUAGGCAACGCUACAUAGCCGACCUGGGAGGGUGAUCGGCCACACUGGGACUGAGAAACGGGCCAAACUCCUAAGGGAAGCAGCAGGAGGGAAUCUUCGGCAAUUGGGGGAACGCUGACCGGGCAACGCCGCGUGAGUGAAGAAGGGUUUCGGAUCGUAAAGCUCUGUUGGUAAGGAAGCGGUACUUAACCAGAAAGGGACGGCUAACUACGUGCCAGCAGCCGCGGUAAUAC
rnacentral:rRNA from 1 species